rnacentral:rRNA from 1 species
UACGUAGGGUGCGAGCGUUGUCCGGAAUUAUUGGGCGUAAAGAGCUCGUAGGCGGCUUGUCGCGUCGGAUGUGAAAUCCCGGGGCUUAACUCCGGGGCUGCAUUCGAUACGGGCAGGCUAGAGUUCGGUAGGGGAGAUCGGAAUUCCUGGUGUAGCGGUGAAAUGCGCAGAUAUCAGGAGGAACACCGGUGGCGAAGGCGGAUCUCUGGGCCGAUACUGACGCUGAGGAGCGAAAGCGUGGGGAGCGAACAGG